UCAACACGAGCACACACUCAUGCACAGGGUUGAGGAGGUCCAGCAUGUGUCUAUGGCGAGCAGAGCAGACGUCACACUGGAAGCACAGCUGCAGACAGAGAGAGAGGCUCUGGACAGGAAGGAGAAAGAGAUGGUGAAUCGGGAGGAGCAGCUGGAAGCAGUUUCGUGAGUAUGCUGUAGAACAAGAUCGAG